ensembl:snRNA U6 U6 spliceosomal RNA
GUACUUGCUAAGGCGGCACAUAUACUAAAAUUGGAGCAACACAGAGAUUAGCAUGACCCCUGCACAAGGAUGGCAUGCAAAUUCAUGAAGCAUUCCAGAUUUAA